rnacentral:rRNA from 1 species
GCCCAAACCAAUAAAGUUUUCUUUAUUGGGGUUGCGGACAUAUCAUAACGAAGAGGUAUCGUAAUUGAAGAGGUUUGGAAAGACCCACCACAGAAGGUAAUAGUCCUGUAUGUUAAACGAGAAGACUUUAGAUAUGAUCCAGAGUACCACGGGACACGUGAAACCCUGUGGGAAGCAGGAGGGACCACCCUCCAAGGCUAAAUACUACCUAGUGACCG